rnacentral:rRNA from 1 species
AUUGAACGCUGGCGGCAUGCUCUACACAUGCAAGUCGAACGGUAACAGGCCGCAAGGUGCUGACGAGUGGCGAACGGGUGAGUAAUGCAUCGGAACGUGCCCAGGCGUGGGGGAUAACUACUCGAAAGAGUAGCUAAUACCGCAUACGAUCUAUGGAUGAAAGCGGGGGACCGUAAGGCCUCGCGCGAUUGGAGCGGCCGAUGUCAGAUUAGGUAGUUGGUGGGGUAAAGGCUCACCAAGCCAACGAUCUGUAGCUGGUCUGAGAGGACGACCAGCCACACUGGGACUGAGACACGGCCCAGACUCCUACGGGAGGCAGCGGUGGGGAAUUUUGGGCAAUGGGCGCAAGCCUGAUCCAGCAAUGCGGCGUGCAGGAAGAAGGCCUUCGGGUGGUAAACUGCUUUUGUACGGAACGAAACGGCUCUGGUUAAUACCCGGGGCUAAUGACGGUACCGUAAGAAUAAGCACCGGCUAACUACGU